rnacentral:rRNA from 1 species
UUAUUAAAGUGGCGCACGGGUGAGUAACGCGUAGAUAAUCUACCUUUAAGACUGGGAUAACGGACCGAAAGGUCCCCUAAUACCGGAUACGCUCUUUUUAACAUAAGUUAGGAAGAAGAAAGAUGGCCUCUCCUUGGAAGCUAUUGCUUGAAGAUGAGUUUGCGUACCAUUAGCUAGUUGGUGGGGUAAGAGCCUACCAAGGCAACGAUGGUUAGCGGGUCUGAGAGGAUGAUCCGCCACACUGGAACUGAAACACGGACCAGACUCCUACGGGAGGCAGCAGUGAGGAAUUUUGCGCAAUGGGGGAAACCCUGACGCAGCGACGCCGCGUGGACGAUGAAGGCCUUAGGGUUGUAAAGUUCUGUCAGUAGGGAAGAAAUGCGAAUAUAUUAAUACUAUAUUCGUUUGACGGUACCUACAAAGGAAGCACCGGCUAACUCCGUGCCAGCAGCCGCGGUAAUACGGAGGGUGCAAGCGUUAAUCGGAAUUACUGGGCGUAAAGGGCGCGUAGGCGGCCUGGAAAGUCAGAUGUGAAAGCCCACGGCUCAACCGUGGAAGUGCAUCUGAAACUAACAGGCUUGAGUAUGGGAGAGGAAAGUGGAAUUCCAGGUGUAGAGGUGAAAUUCGUAGAUAUCUGGAGGAACACCGGUGGCGAAAGGCGACUUUCUGGACCAAUACUGACGCUGAGGCGCGAAAGCGUGGGGAGCAAACAGGAUUAAAUACCCC